rnacentral:rRNA from 1 species
GACGAACGCUGGCGGCGUGCUUAACACAUGCAAGUCGAACGGAAAGGCCCUGCUUUUGUGGGGUGCUCGAGUGGCGAACGGGUGAGUAACACGUGAGUAACCUGCCCUUGACUUUGGGAUAACUUCAGGAAACUGGGGCUAAUACCGGAUAGGAGCUCCUGCUGCAUGGUGGGGGUUGGAAAGUUUCGGCGGUUGGGGAUGGACUCGCGGCUUAUCAGCUUGUUGGUGGGGUAGUGGCUUACCAAGGCUUUGACGGGUAGCCGGCCUGAGAGGGUGACCGGCCACAUUGGGACUGAGAUACGGCCCAGACUCCUACGGGAGGCAGCAGUGAGGAAUAUUGCACAAUGGGCGGAAGCCUGAUGCAGCAACGCCGCGUGCGGGAUGACGGCCUUCGGGUUGUAAACCGCUUUCGCCUGUGACGAAGCGUGAGUGACGGUAACGGGUAAAGAAGCACCGGCUAACUACGUG